UUCCCCCCCCCUGUAAGCUUACAACUUGGGUGAGCAUUUUCAUUUGUUCCUGAUUGUCCUUUCCAAGCUAUAAAUGAGACAGUUAAUGAACUGGAAGCAUUCUUCUGGAAUUACUGUCAGCUGUGAAGAAUAUGGUAACACUUAUGGAACUGCUCCCAAUAGUGAUUUCAAGACCUGCUUCUGAGUGAACAGAAUGUAUCUUAUCCUGUAAGAAAAAUGGGAUAUAGCUUCUAUAUAUCAUACUGUAAGUGGAGACUUGUAUAAUGAAGAGUAGAAUACAAUUCAGUAGUUUCUUAAUUGUGAGGAGAUAAAAUAUAUGGAAGAAAAUGGGUAGGGGAAGUUGAUAUUCUUAUCCAUCUAUGUUGCAGGUUUCUUUUAAAAUGUAAGCCAUCUUUUUUUACCUCAGAGAAACGUCUGUUUUCUUGGAGCUAGGAGGACAGCUUAUUCAUUUAUAGUCAUACUAUCUCAGAGCUUACUAAGGACAAUUUCUGUGAUAAAAAAGGCUUUAGCACCUCAGUUACUCUAUUCUAUCUUUAACUGCAAAUACUUCACUUUAGCUUUUCUUAGAGCAGUUACUGAAGUGCUACUGUAAUAGUGUAUAUAUAUGUCAUACAUGUAAGACUUUUUUUUAUUCUGGUGAACACUGGUAAAAUGUUAAAUGUAAGAAUAUAUUUUCUGAUUGUUCUUUGUUACAUAGGGAGGAUUUAUUCUGAUUUUACUUCUGUGAGCUUGUAUCAGAGUCUUAUAAUCUAAAAUGGAAUUCUGUGUUUUCAAAUGAAGGAAAUCACUGUUUUUUCCUUCCCCCUCUUUUUUUUUUUUUUCUUGAGGAUCUUCCAAUGUUUUUUUAACAAGAACUAUUCAUGUAGUUAUUGUCUAGAAUCUGUAGGGUUAAGAACAGGGACAAAAUGAAGAGAUACCUGCUCUAACAGGAUUCUAAGAGAAAAUAAUAUUUUCUUCAUGAAAAUACACACAUUUUUGCACAGAUUACAGUACAUGGAGUAAGAAGAUAAGAGGAUAGCAAACAACUGAGAAAAAAUUAACUCCUGCAGUUCCCAGCACUUUUCUGUCUGCCCUCACUAAACAUCUGGUUAUGAUGAAAUUGGUUAUGAGAUAAACAAAAUGUCUAUGCCCUUUAUAAGUAGCAAGAGGGUAUUUGCAUGGCAUCCGAACUUCUCAUACUGUUAAGAGAAAUGGUACUAAAGGUUUAUGCUGCAGGACUGCCGAAAGAUAGUAUAGGAGACAAUUUAAUCAUUUUGAAAACUUGGAUGGAUGGAUGGAUCAGUCCUUUGCAUAGAAGACUUCAAACAUACACACACAAUUAUACAUGUAUGUAUAUAUGCAAACAAUGCAAAUGCAGUGCUCUUGGGUAUGUGAGAUCCUGUAUCUCAGGUAAUAUAACCUCCUUCUCAGUUAUUCAUUAACAAAGUUGUUAUUAAUCUCCACAAAAGCAUUUCUACUGCAGAAACAUUGGAUAUUAAGCCUCUUUAGCUAUGGUGCUGUAUUGGUGCUAGAUUUAAUGCAUCUUCCCUGCUCCAUUAUCCUUCAAAUGUGGUAUGCUCCAGAAUGCCGUACUCUUUCACAUAAACUCAAAAACUUGAAUUUACAGUAUCCCCUAUUCUUGCUUAUGUUUUAUUUUGUAUAGUUCUUUACACUUAACCUCUUAUUUUCAUACCUGGUGCUGAGUUUAUCUUCCAGUGCCUGUAUGCUGAAAAGUUAAAUGUUAACUAGUUUAGUUCAUUAUAUCGUCUUAUCAUCGCUCUGUGUUUUCAUGCACCAUCAGCUUUCCUGCAGGAUAUUUUUCUAUUGUACAGUUUGUUUCAGAAUUGUUUCUUUUUUUCUUGUAUGAAGGACUCAUGUAAGAACAAUACAUGUGGGAGGAGAAGAGGAAUGGCUUACAAUUUAUGUUAUAUACAUAUGAAAUUUAUAUUUAUAUUCAACAGAACAUUGUACUUCCUAGAAGGUACAUCUGUAUUGCCCUUGAGUCUAUCAGCUACUACAUAUUGGUAAGAUCAGAAUGUUGUUGAGUUUCUUUACUGAAAGAGACAGGUACGUUUUCAAGUCAAGCCCUAGGGUAUUACUUUGCGUUCAGUGCAAAAUAGACCUGUGUGAUCUGUAAUCAUUAUUUCUACUGUCCCUUGCCUUCUGUGUAACCUUUCCCCUCUGUGGCCAAGCAAUCUUCUUGUGAAAGACGUGAGGAGUUUCCAGUGUUGUAAUUGUAUGCAUAACCUUCAUGGAUAUUCUAUUAUAUGUCAGUCUCUGAUUUAGAUAUACCCCACCAAUAUUUUUUUCUCUUGUAAUCUCUGUUAAUAUUUGGUUUUCACCUACUAUGAGCUGGCAUUGCUGUUUUCCUGGCAUAAAUAUAUUUAUACUCUGUUGGAAUUCCUUAUUAAUAGCAUGCCUGUUUUUUUUUUCAGUUUUUCACAUUUAAAACGCUGACUUUUAAACACGUUUUUGGAUGUUCAUCUACUUUACCUGUUUUUUCACACUUUCAAAAUGUUAUUUGUUUUUCUAUUUAUUUUCAGACAUGAGAACUGUUUGUUUGUUGAUUAGGUAUAUUGUUGCUUCUGUGGUAGACCAAACCUUUCUUAAAAUCACAGAUGUGAAUUUUGUUCAUGUUUAAAUAUAAACAGAACU
ensembl:lncRNA